UUGGAGGGCAAGUCUGGUGCCAGCAGCCGCGGUAAUUCCAGCUCCAAUAGCGUAUAUUAAAGUUGUUGCAGUUAAAAAGCUCGUAGUUGAAUUUCGGGACUAAUAUGUCGGUCGUACUUUGUACGUACUAGCAUUAUUGGUUUCUCCCUUCUGACGAACCACGAUGUCAUUAAUUUGGUGUCAUGGGAAAUCAGGACUGUUACUUUGAAAAAAUUAGAGUGUUUAAAGCAAGCUCGCGCUUGAAUACAUUAGCAUGGAAUAAUGAAAUAGGACGUUUGAUUCUAUUUUGUUGGUUUCUAGGAUCGACGUAAUGAUUAAUAGGGAUAGUUGGGGGCAUUAGUAUUCAAUUGUCAGAGGUGAAAUUCUUGGAUUUAUUGAAGACUAACUACUGCGAAAGCAUUUGCCAAGGAUGUUUUCAUUAAUCAAGAACGAAAGUUAGGGGAUCGAAGACGAUCAGAUACCGUCGUAGUCUUAACCAUAAACUAUGCCGACUAGGGAUCGGAUGAUGUUAAUUUUUUAAUGACUCAUUCGGCGCCUUACGGGAAAC
rnacentral:rRNA from 1 species